UUUUAAUUUACUUUCUCAUUUUUGCUAGGAUACAAUACACCUCAUCACACUUUAAAAAUCAAUGUCAUUAUUUAAAGUUAUUGAUUUCUUUCUAAUAAACACUUUCUUUUUUCUUUUUUAAAUAAGGCACAUUAUUUAAUUAUAAAUGAACCUGUAUGCUGAAUUAUUGGCGCUGCACGACACUUGUGUGUUGGAUUGCAGUUAUUCACUGGACAGAGUGGAGAAAGAAGACAAGGAGAGAACAGAAUUCACUCACCUGCAAACCAGCCACUUUUGUCCCUCGUCCCCCUAACCAGGGGUUCCCUCAUCU
ensembl:lncRNA